rnacentral:rRNA from 1 species
CUACGGGUGGCAGCAGUGAGGAAUUUUGCGCAAUGGGGGAAACCCUGACGCAGCAACGCCGCGUGAGCGAAGAAGGCCUUCGGGUCGUAAAGCUCUGUCAAGUGGGAAAAAACGCUUUAGAUUAACAGUCUAAAGAAUUGAUGGUACCACUGGAGGAAGCACCGGCUAACUCCGUGCCAGCAGCCGCGGUAAUACGGAGGGUGCAAGCGUUGUUCGGAAUUACUGGGCGUAAAGCGCGUGCAGGCGGUUUGGCAAGUCAGAUGUGAAAGCCCUGGGCUCAACCCGGGAAGUGCAUUUGAACUGCCUUUCUUGAGUAUGGGAGAGGAGAGUGGAAUUCCCAGUGUAGAGGUGAAAUUCGUAGAUAUUGGGAGGAACACCCGUGGCGAAGGCGACUCUCUGGACCAAUACUGACGCUGAGACGCGAAAGCGUGGGGAGCAAACAGGAUUAGAUACCCUCGUAGUC